rnacentral:lncRNA from 1 species
GCAGCAGUAGGAAAUGAAGACACCCACCUAACACAAUAUCCAGAAGUAGGUGGCAGGAGGAAUGUGCAGCUGCUUGAGCAAGUCGUCCAGGAUCGAGCUCUUCCAGAUUCCUGUGGCACCAUCCUCCACACGUGGCAUUCUUCCUCCUGAUUAUAAGGCAACAGAAACAAUCUUUGUCCAACCAGCAAAAGAGGGAUUUGGAGAAAGAAAAUGAAGCAGCUUAUGGAACAGAAGAAUGCAGAUGUGACGGUUGAUAGACCAGCUGCUAUAUUGGACUAUGAAGACAAGGGUCACCCCUCUGGAUCGGACAGUGUGGAGUUAGAAGAAGCUCAG